rnacentral:rRNA from 1 species
GGAGUCUUUUGUCAGUUGUAGAAUCACUGGUGAAUAAGGGGUGGGCAAGUUCUGGUGUCAGCCGCCGCGGUAAAACCAGCACCUCGAGUGGUCANNNGGUUUAUUGGGCCUAAAGCAUCCGUAGCCGNNNNNAUAAGUUUUCGGUUAAAUCUAUGCGCUUAACGUAUAGGCCGCCGAAAAUACUGUGCAGCUAGGGAGUGGAGAGGUACACGGUACUCGAUAGGAAGGGGUAAAAUCCUUUGAUCUAUUGAUGACCACCUGUGGCGAAGGCGGUGUACCAGAACACGUUCGACGGUGAGGGAUGAAAGCUGGGGGAGCAAACCGGAUUAGAUACCCGGGUAGUCCCAGCUGUAAACGAUGCAGACUCG